rnacentral:rRNA from 1 species
AUGGAUGAGCUGUGGAAGGACAUGUCGCUGUGCUCCACCCCGGUGGCGCUACAGUCGUACCACCUCCACUCGCCGGCCGCUCAUCCCUACCGCGGCGCCGUGUACCUGCAGGACUACCUCGCCGGCGCCAACUCGGUGCCGCAGCCGCCCCGCACGCCGCCUCCUCCACCUCCUCACACGGCGCUCAGCCUCGAGUUCACCAACCUCGGGGGCGCCACCUCGGCCGCCAGCUCCGGCGACGACCCUGUCCACUUCGGCUUCUCUCUCUCCGGAGGCAACAACAGUAGGAGGAGAUCAGCCGUCCUGCAGCCGGCCGCGGUGGGUGGCGACCGGCGGCAGCGUCGGAUGAUCAAGAACCGGGAGUCGGCGGCGCGGUCGCGGGCGCGGAAGCAGGCCUACACCAACGAGCUGGAGCUGGAGCUGGAGCAGCUGCGUCGGGAGAACAAGAUGCUCAUCCAGCGCGAGAAGGACUUCAUCAACGAUCGUCAGGCCAAGGCGGCGCAGUUAGCCGUCCCCGACCGCCGGAGCGGUAGGAGCACUGCUACUAGCCUCCAGCAGAAGCAGCAGCAUGAACAGAGGUGCCGCUCGGCCCCUCCACCGUGA